CGAGCAGGCAUUGUGGAGAGAAU
rnacentral:piRNA from 1 species